GAUGAACGCUGGCGGCGUGCCUAAUACAUGCAAGUCGAGCGAACAGACGAGGCGCUUGCUCCUUCGACGUUAGCGGCGGACGGGUGAGUAACACGUAGGUAACCUACCUAUAAGACUGGGAUAACUUCGGGAAACCGGAGCUAAUACCGGAUAAUAUUUCGAACCGCAUGGUUCGAUAGUGAAAGAUGGCUUUGCUAUCACUUAUAGAUGGACCUGCGCCGUAUUAGCUAGUUGGUAAGGUAACGGCUUACCAAGGCAACGAUACGUAGCCGACCUGAGAGGGUGGUCGGCCGCACUGGAAGGGUGACACGGUCCAGACGCCUACGGGAGGCAGCAGUAGGGAUUCGUCCGCAAUGGGCGAAAACCUGACGGAGCAACGCCGCGUGAGUGAUGAAGGUCGUCGGAUCGUAAAACUCGGUUAUUAGGGAGGAACAAACGUGUAAGUAACUGGGCACGUCUUGACGGUACCUAAUCAGAAAGCCACGGCUAACUACGUG
rnacentral:rRNA from 1 species